CCAAUCUUUAUGAAAUUUGGUCAGAAUGUUUAUUUUGAUGAAAUCUGGGUUGGGAUUGUAUUUGUGUCAUCUGGGGUAAAAAACUAGGUCAAAUAAUAGAAAAACCUUGUGUAGACAGUAGAGGUCACAGUUUUCCUCCAAUCUUUAUGAAAUUUGGUCAGAAUGUUUAUCUUGAUAAAAUCUGGGUUGGGAAUGUAUUUGGGUCAUCUGGGGUCAAAAACUAGGUCACUAGGUCAAAAACUAGGUCACUAGGUCAAAUAAUAGAAAAACCUUGUAUAGACAAUAGAGGUCACAGUUUUCAUCCAAUCUUUAUAAAAUUUGAUCAGAAUGUUUAUCUUGAUGAAAUCUGGGUUGGGAUUGUAUUUGGGUCACUUGGGGUUAAAAACUAGGUCACUAGGUCAAAUAAUAGAAAAACCUUGUG